UGAACAAAACAGACCCUGUCCCCUCCUGCCACUCCCUUAAUAAAAUAGCAACCGAUGGUAACGUUAUAUGACAAAUGUGGUAAAUGCUGGUCAAAAGUAAACGCUUGGGAUCUCGAAUGCUACAUUCUGUACACUGUUGGUUUACUUAAUAGCUUUUAUUUAAAAAGCAUACAGUCAAACUAUCGAGGCAAGUGACUGCAGGCCACAAACAGAACAUGCUGUUCAGACUAACACUUUGGAUAGCAGAGCAAAAACACGGCUGAAAAUAAAGUGGUACUUACAUGACGCUAGCAAACCCAGUUCAGCCUGACACUGAAUGCUGGUGACAUCCAACACCACCUCGUUAUUUCAAGUGACAGCUGACGUGACACGUCCUCAGAAUCUCCGGCCAGCCCUUACAAAACCCCGCUGAACGGAAUGCUGUCGAGUCGUUCUUCGACGCACUUGAAACGGCAGGCCAGCUAGUUCCUCGGCCGACGUGCAGUCUGCUCUGACGACUAAGCCUUCAGAGAUGUGAUGACAACAGUCCGUAUGAAGCCAAUGUCAGGCACUGAGCCACCUCAACUCCGAGGGAAGCCCAGCAAUCCCGCGACGGAAAACGGAGUGAAGAAUGUCAGCGAUCGCUCCUGACGAUAACAGUCCAAUGUCUCUGUAUUCCGCGUACCAGAUGGUGAUGGAGGAGCAGAAGUUCACCAUCAUCGUUUUUGGCAAGUUGAAUUUCUUCAGCUGCCGCAUCCUCUGCUGGGUUUCUUUGGUGAGGGGGCUGAUUUUCUGCUCCCAUGAGGUCCUGGGUGAUGAUGGUGACCAGGAAGCGGAAGGACUCCACAGCAGUGACUGGACUAAGAACCAUCUCUGCUGACUUUGGAGCGUUGAGGUUGUGGCCCCUGCACCAGAUGGCCGAUCACAAUCUGUAGGGAGAUUGUCCCCACCAGAGAUGAUGAGUCUGCCUACUCGUCAUCACUGGGGACGAAAACGGUUUUCUCAUAAAGAUACACUCUGAACGCCUCAUUUAAUUCCUUUACUACCUUGAUAGAAGACUUAUGCUACGUUUUUUUUGUUAAACCUACAAGAGAGCCCUCCAUAUUAUAAUUUGCCUAAAAUGUUGGUAACCUAAACAGUUUGGCUGGUCCACGUUAUUUUUUACCAGAAUUCUGGGAAACAAGAGGAGCAUGCCCCCCAAUGUCUGUAAAGUGUGUCAUUUUUGCUUUUACCUUUCUCUCCAUUCCCCAACCCCAUAAAGGAUGUGUAAUGUUUAUCACCACCAACCACAUCAUCAGAAGUCCCUCUCCAAAUGACUGAAAAACUUCAGUUCAUAUGCAUAAUAUUUAGAGCAUAGCUUUGGAAAGAGCCAAGAGUUUAACAGCCUGAUAAACUGUUCCUGAAUCCACUGAUUUGAUAUUGAUGCUGUGGUUCCUACCGUGUUGAGUGGAGUGUGGGGGUGAAGUGGGCAUUGUGGGAUCCUGUGGGCUUUCUCCCUGUGCCACUGGGUCUGAAGGUCCUCAAUUGAUGGCUGCUCCAACCUUGUGAUGUGCUGUGCACAUCGGAGUAGAUCAGUUAUGCAAAAAAAUAUUGCGAGAGUACAAGUACAAAUAUGUGAAUGUAAAGGGUUGACUACAACUGUUAUAUUUCUAUAUAUGUAGAGGUAAUAUAAAUGUUUGUUUAGAUAGUGGUUUUAAGGUUCCCCAAAUCCAUGAAUCAAUUUCACCAAGGAACACUGUUAAAACAAAACUAAGUAGAGCCGCUAGAUGGCAGAACAGAAAGUCAAAAACGGGUUUAUUGUACACAUUACACACAGGAGGGAAACACGUUGCCACGUGUUGACUUCAGGGAAGAGAAGGAAUCUUCCAGUUUGUUUUUUCCCCUCAUUUCUGACAGCGGCAGUGGUCCUGGUAUUUGGGAAAGUGUGUCUGCAGGCUUUUAAUGUUGUCGGGUUUUUUACAGGAUGUGCACAAGUUAACAGGAGAGGUUCUUUUGAUUCCAAUAUGACAUAAUCAAAAGGUUAAUUUUAUCGUAUAUAUACGGUUGAAUUUCAUAAAUAUAUUUUGACCCUUGAAGAUCAAAUCAUUACUCAUGUGUAUCACAUGCAAGAGAACUAAAUGUGAAAGUGACAAAAAAAAAACAUGAUAAAGACCAGCAAACCAGGGUAUCAUAUCUGGAUUUUUAAGCAUCACAACAGGAACACACAUCUCCACAACAGCCUGUUGUUUUCAGCACCCGUGUUUAGUGCAGUGUGUGCUUCCUCUUCAUUACUAAAUUUAUUUUGACUGCAGCUGGACCCUUGUCCAAAAUAACACCACAAAGAAAUCAAUACAAGAAAAAACUUUAUUGAUGCUAUACAAACAUUUAGAAGAAUCAUCCAGUCUCCCUACAAAUAACAGGGACUGUAGAGCUGUGUCCCCUGGACCGACAACAGGACUGCAGUCCAUGUGUUCACUAGAGGAACUCUUAGGAAGUUCACACUGACUGGGCAGGCUACUUGAUUAGUAUGACAGAAUUGUGACAACAGUUGAUCUACAGUGAUGUUAGAGUUGUCAAAAAAUCAUAUCCUAAAGAUGAUGCUGAUAGUGCCUCACCUUUGAUUUCUUACAACACUGUAAAACAAACAAUAUAUGUUAGAAAGUCUAAAAAAAACAAUGUAAAUAGAAAAUAAACCGUUUUAGGGGAACCAUCAGACUGCCAAUAAGUUUAAGGACAGAUUACCUGAUGAUGACAUUGUUAGGUGAAAUAAACACUAAAAAUGAAAAGAUUCAUUAAGCACAAGUUUGAGGGAAGAUAUGUUUGAAUAUUUACAUACUUACAGUGAAACAUUUUUGUCACGUAUUUAUAGUUUUUGCAUUGAAGAGGUUAACCAAACCCAUUUUGAGCUGUGUUCUACGCAAAUAUAAAUGAAAUAUGUUCAAUUGUUAAUAAGUCAAUAAAUGGCACCUACUGAGCCUGAGAAACACA